UACGGGGGGGGCAAGCGUUGUUCGGAAUUACUGGGCGUAAAGGGCUCGUAGGCGGCCAACUAAGUCGGACGUGAAAUCCCCAGGCUCAACCUGGGAACUGCGUCCGAUACUGGAUGGCUUGAAUCCGGGAGAGGGAUGCAGAAUUCCAGGUGUAGCGGUGAAAUGCGUAGAUAUCAGGAAGAACACCCGUGGCGAAGGCGGCUCUCUGGUACGUGACUGACGCUGAGACGCGAAAGCGUGGGGAGCGAACAGG
rnacentral:rRNA from 1 species